AUUGCGUUCUGUAGCUGUGUUUGCACUCAGUUUUACCGAAUUCCCAGUUGCUUUGUAUUGUUUUGUUGUGUUUGGGUUUUGUUUCUUUUUCCCAGUGCCAGGUCUUUGUUCCUUAAAGUUGGAUGGCAGGUAGAGUUCAAGCAGUUUGUGACUGUCGUAGUGAAUGAAGUUAAAAAUGUCCUUCUGAUGUGUUGUCAUUUCCAUUCUUGCAUUUUUGUUUUCAUGUAAAAAACAAAAACAAAAAACAAACAAAAAAACAAAAAAACAAAAAAAAAGGAGAGAAAGAGAGAAAAAAGAAAUCAGGACUAAGCCUUCAGCUUCAGUUUCAUUUUGAAAGGGCCCUAUCUGAUCUCACCUGUCUAGCUCUUCUAUUCACAUAAACUGAAAUAAAGAAGUGGUGUGAGGAGUUCUGACAUGCAAAUUAUGUGAUGCUGAUUUAUCUUUCUUAGGAAUUUCGAUGAAUGCAUCUCAGAAUGUACAGGCAGACUUGAGAGGUGGCUGUUAAAGAUCUCAGAAAGAGAGGAGAUGUCCCAAACAACAAAACAAUAUUUCAUUUUCUUAGUAAAAGGACUAGUAACGAAGUGCAGUGUGGCAAUCCUUAAGCAACAUUAUACAUGAACUGCUCAAAUCAGCAAAAUGCCAGAAGUUUGGUUAACUUGGGCAAUAUUACAGGUAUGACUUUUUAGGCAAAACUACUCCAUAAACAAUUUCUCUAGUGUGUCAGACACAAAUAGGUUGUUCCUUUUUGGCAUGUAUUCCUUUUUCUUUUUUCUUUUUUUUUUUUUUUUUUAAUCUGAUUUUUGUUUUCUCAGACAGAUGUAGUAGUAACGAUUAGCAUUGGAAAAUACAUAUCACUAUUCUUGGAAUAUUUAUGGUCAGUCUACUUUCAGUAGAAUAUUCUUGGGUAGCAUUGACACGAUAGAUCUUAUUCCAUAUUCCUUUAUUAUUGAUUAUUUUAUUUUCAUUUUUGUUUUCAUUGUUAUACAUGUUUUGAUGGAGAAGAGGUUGGGCUUUUCUUAAAAGAUGAAAAUUUAUUGUAACACUAAAAUACCCCUUACUUUUUGACCUACAAAAGCCUUUGUUCCAGCUCUCAAAAUAUAUUAUAAAAAUGGUUGUUAUUUUAUUUGGUUUUAAGGUUUCUGAAUGAUUUUGCCUUAAAUUGUGAUUUUAAAUGAGCUAUUUAGGUACUUAUCCUUUUUUUUAAGGACUUUCAAGAUGAUUUAGGAAUUUCCCCUCUUGGAAAAGCCUUCCCCUAUGAUGAAAAUUAUAUGCCAGCUAAAAUUGUAUACCAUUGAAAAACUGAAAGGUAGAGCUGUAAGCCUCACUCUGUCCUACACCAGAGAAAAGCAAGAGUAACUUUACGUGGAAGUAACGUUUAGCCUUCAUCAGAGAAGAUGGUCCUUCAAGACCUAUAAGUCCCCAAACUGGAUCCUGAUUCUACCCCUGGUUGUUUUUCAUUUUAUGACCUGCAGUAAAUCACUUUUUCUUUUCGUUCCUCAGGUUCCUCACCUGUAAAAUGGAAAAAAUAUAUUAAUAAUAAUAAUAUUAAUAAUAAUAAUAAUAAUAAUGGUAAUGUAGUACUUGUUUUGUAAAGCACUUUGAGAUCCUUGGUUGGAAGGCACCAUGGGAGUGCCAAGUAUUAUUAUAUGGCCAAGGGGCUUAUUUAAACUCUCAGUUCCCAAGGGCCAGGAAAGGUUGGGGUCAUUUUUGUUAAAGAUGAGCUGUAAAUAUCAUACUAGACAGCCUAUAGUGUUGACUAUGAAGAGGCAAAACUAUUACAAGGCUGAUAAAACGAUAGUUUCUUAAUGGCUACCAACAAGGCAAAUAUCACAAUAAGAAAUGCCAAAUUCCUUAGGGUGGGCUAUUUGACAACGUGGAUAAUUGGGGGGUGGGAUGGGGUUGGGAAACAUCUCAAAAUGCCAAUGUAAAAUUAACUUACAGCAAUAUUCACCAGCAGAAAAUGUCUUUCAUAUGGAAUGAUUUCAUGUUGCUAAGAAAAUAUUCAAUUUGUAGUCCUGAUUUGAAUAUUAGAAUGUUGGCUAUAAUAGUUCUGUUCUUACAACACAUGGAAUAUUUUUUUGUUUUAUUUAAUUUUGUUUUCAUAGUGCAUGUUCAUUUCUACUCACAAACAUGUUCUUGGUGUAUUUCUUAUGCAAACAAUCUUCAGGCAGCAAAGAUGUCUGUUACAUCUAAACUUGAAUAAUAAAGUUUUACCACCAGUUACA